rnacentral:rRNA from 1 species
AGAAUGAACGCUGGCGGCGUGCUUAACACAUGCAAGUCGAGCGAGGCCAGGGGGGCAACUCCCUGAGUCGAGCGGCGGACGGGUGAGUAACACGUGGGUAACCUACCCGGAAGUGGGGAAUACCUCGGGGAAACUCGAGCUAAUACCGCAUGACAUCUUUGGGACGAAAGUCCUGACGAUCAAAGCGGGGUCGCAAGAUCUCGCGCUACCGGAUGGGCCCGCGCCCGAUUAGCUAGUUGGUGAGGUAACGGCUCACCAAGGCAACAAUC